rnacentral:rRNA from 1 species
UACGUAGGGUGCAAGCGUUGUCCGGAAUUAUUGGGCGUAAAGAGCUCGUAGGCGGUUUGUUGCGUCGGCUGUGAAAACCUGAGGCUCAACCUCAGGCCUGCAGUCGAUACGAGCAGACUAGAGUGUUGCAGGGGAGACUGGAAUUCCCGGUGUAGUGGUGAAAUGCGUAGAUAUCGGGAGGAACACCAGUGGCGAAGGCGACUACCUGGCCUGUUCUUGACGCUGAGGCGCGAAAGCUAGGGGAGCAAACGGG